rnacentral:ncRNA from 1 species
AGGAAGUUUUAUUCUUGCUUAUUUAUUUAUUAUAAUGGAAAGUUAUAUGCAUUUAUUUAAUAGAAUAUUAAUUCUAAAUGGAUAUUAUUUGAUUUUGCAGUAAUUAAUAUUAUUAAUUGAUGAAAUUUUGAUUUAGUUACUUUUAUAUAAUGUUGAUAAAAUAUGUGCCAGCAAUCGCGGUUAUACAUAGAACAUAAAUAAAUAUUUUUAGUUUUUAGUUAUUAUUUAAUAAAUGGGUAUAUUGUUAUAAAUUUUUUAAGGUGAAAUUUAAUUAUUUAUUUAAAUUAUGUAGUUAUAUUGUAUAUAAGAGGCUUUGAAAUCUAAAUGUUAAACUAGGAUUAGAUACCCUAUUAUUUUAGAUUUAAAAUUUAUUGGAUUAAAGUAGUAAUAGUUAUGAUCUUGAAACUUAAAGAAUUUGGCGGUAUUUUAGUCUAUUUAGAGGAAUCUGUCCCAUUAUCGAUAUACCACGUUGAACCUUACUUAAUUAAUUUAUAUGUAUACCGCCGUAUAUUGAAGAUCUUAUUAGGGUUAAAUUUUCUUGAUAUUUUAAUGUUAUGAUAUUUCAGGUCAAGGUGCAGUUAGUAAUUAAGUGGUGAUGGAUUACAAUAUAUUUAUAAACGAAUUGGAUAUUGAAAUUAUGUCUAUGAAGGUGGAUUUAAUAGUAAUUUUAAUAAGAGUAUUAAAAUAAUUGUGGCUCUAGAAUGUGUACACAUCGCCCGUCGCUCUCGUUAAGUUAAGGUGAGACAAGUCGUAACAAAGUAGGUGUACCGGAAGGUGUAGCUGGAAUGAU